rnacentral:rRNA from 1 species
AUUGAACGCUGGCGGCAUGCUUUACACAUGCAAGUCGAACGGCAGCACGGGUGCUUGCACCUGGUGGCGAGUGGCGGACGGGUGAGUAAUACAUCGGAACGUGUCCUGAAGUGGGGGAUAACGCAUCGAAAGAUGUGCUAAUACCGCAUAUUCUCUGAGGAGAAAAGUAGGGGAUCGAAAGACCUUAUGCUUUUGGAGCGGCCGAUGUCUGAUUAGCUAGUUGGUAGGGUAAUGGCUUACCAAGGCGACGAUCAGUAGUUGGUCUGAGAGGACGGCCAGCCACACUGGGACUGAGACACGGCCCAGACUCCUACGGGAGGCAGCAGUGGGGAAUUUUGGACAAUGGGCGCAAGCCUGAUCCAGCAAUGCCGCGUGAGUGAAGAAGGCCU